GGAGGAAAGCAGGGGAUCGCAAGACCUUGCGCUUUUGGAGUGGCCGAUGCCUGAUUAGCUAGUUGGUGGGGUAAGAGCCUACCAAGGCGACGAUCAGUAGUUGGUCUGAGAGGACGACCAGCCACACUGGGACUGAGACACGGCCCAGACUCCUACGGGAGGCAGCAGUGGGGAAUUUUGGACAAUGGGCGAAAGCCUGAUCCAGCAAUGCCGCGUGAGUGAAGAAGGCCUUCGGGUUGUAAAGCUCUUUCAGUCGAGAAGAAAAGGUCGCGACUAAUAAUCGCGACUCAUGACGGUAUCGACAGAAGAAGCACCGGCUAACUACGUGCCAGCAGCCGCGGUAAUACGUAGGGUGCGAGCGUUAAUCGGAAUUACUGGGCGUAAAGGGUGCGCAGGCGGCUUUGUAAGUCCGAUGUGAAAUCCCCGGGCUUAACCUGGGAAUUGCGUUUGAAACUACAAAGCUAGA
rnacentral:rRNA from 1 species